rnacentral:rRNA from 1 species
CAGCCGCCGCGGUAAAACCAGCAGCCCAAGUGGUGGUCGCGAUUAUUGGGCCUAAAGCGCUCGUAGCCGGGCCGGUAAGUCCCUUGUGAAAUCGGACGGCCUAACCGUUCGGCGUGCAAGGGAUACUGUCGGUCUUGAGGCCGGGAGACGUCCGAGGUACUCCGGGGGUAGCGGUGAAAUGUUCUGAUCCUCGGGGGACCACCGGUGGCGAAGGCGUUCGACGAGAACGGGCCUGACGGUGAGGGGCGAAGGCUAGGGGAGCAAACGGGAUUAGAUACCCCCGUAGUCCCUGUCUCUUAUA